ensembl:lincRNA
AAUGCAGGUGUACCCUGUUGACUACUAAUGUUAUUGUCUUCACUUUCUGUAAUCAUUUUAGGACCUGCUCAGUGCUGUAGAAGCAAAACAAGCUCUUGAAAGGGAAGUUAAGAUCUUCCAAGAAAGGCUGCUUGCUGGCCAGCGGGUCUGGGAUGCCUCAAAGCAGGAGCUGAGCCUCCUGAAGCAAAGCUCUUCCGAGUUGGAGAAGAGUUUGAAGGCAAGUCGGGAUGCAGUCACAGCCUCACAAAGCCAGUACUCCUCAUUUACGGAGAAAAUUGCAGCCCUCCUUAGGGGCAGAUUGGGCACGACUGGGUCUACUGAGGACACCAUUUUGGAGAAGAUUCGAGAAAUGGGCAGCCAGGAAGAAAGCAGGGACCAGAUGGUCUCCCAGCUUGAAGCCCAAAUAUCUGAGCUUGUUGAACAGUUGGGAAAGGAGUCUGAGUUUCACCAGAAAGCUCUCCAGAGGGCCCAGAAAGCAGAGAAUAUGUUGGAGACUCUUCAGGGUCAGCUGACACACCUGGAGGCAGAGCUGGUUUCUGGAGAUGUUUUGCGAGACAACUUGAAUUUUGAGAAACAAAAACUAAAGACACAGAAAGAGAGACUGGAGAGCAAAGAACUACACAUGAGCUUCCUCCGGCAGAAAAUAGCCCAGCUGGAGGAGGAGAAGCAGGCACGCACGGCCUUGGUGGUUGAGAGGGACAACAUGCAUCUUACCAUCAGGAACCUGCAGAAGAAGGUGGAGAGGCUGCAGAAGGAGCUGAACACAUGUCGAGACUUGAACAUUGAGCUCAAAGCCAAACUGGCUGACACCAAUGAACUGAAGAUUAAAACUUUGGAACAAACUAAAGCCAUUGAAGAUCUAAACAAAUCCAGAGACCAGCUGGAGAAGAUGAAGGAGAAAGCUGAGAAAAAGCUCAUGUCUGUCAAGUCAGAACUGGAUACCACAGAACAUGAGGCUAAGGAGAAUAAAGAAAGGGCCAGAAACAUAAUAGAAGUGGUAACCAGUGAAAUGAAGACACUAAAAAAAUCUUUGGAAGAAGCAGAAAAGAGAGAAAAGCAGCUGGCAGACUUCAGGGAGGUGGUGUCCCAGAUGCUAGGCUUGAACCUGACCAGCCUUGCUCUUCCUGAUUACGAAAUCGUCAAGUGUCUUGAAAGACUGAUCCAUUCACAUCAGCAUCACUUUGUUACCUGUGCCUGCCUCAAAGAUGUGACUACCGGGCAAGAUAGGCACCCACAAGGCCAUUUACCACUUCUUCAUUGAACACUGUGUCUCUUGAGAGAGGUGGCCAUAAGAUAUGGGACACAAUUCCCAAUUUUACAGAUUCCUCAUGUCUUUGAGAUUUGAUCAGUUUGUGAAUAUUUUAUGCUUUGAUGAUAUAGUGAGAAUGCAUCACUUGCAAGAACGAUCUCAAAAGUGUCAGCUUUAGAUAAACACUCAGUGUUAAAAACGCCUAUGAUUUCAUUUACUAGCAUUUGGGGAUCCAGAAGAAUUCCACCAGAUUGCAUGAGUUAGAUUGGGAAAUGGGAGUGGGAGAUUAACAUUGGGGGUAUCUAUUUUAAGUCAGGGGCUUUACUAGCCAAUUUAGUUCUCAUAAUAACCAUGUAGAGAAGCUGUGACGUUUUUAUUUUACAACCUUUCUGGGGCUCAGACAUAGAGUUACCUAUCCAAGGUUGAGGUUGGGUAGUGGUGGAACCAGGAUGGACAACUUAUUGGCCCUGCCUCAAAGGCCAUGCCUCUUCUCCUGCUACACAGACUCGGCUUUUCCUGAAUCUCUAUGAUGCUGGUGGGAAUUGCUUGCAUAUAGGGAGAAAAAUACCCCUGCCAUCGAGAGUUAAUAUCUAGGCUGGACACGGUGGUUCACACCUGUAAUCCCAGCACUUUAGGAGGCCAAGGAGGGCAUAUCAUUUGAGGUCAGAAGUUUGAAACCAGCCUGGCCAACAUGAUGAGACCCUGUUUCUCCUAAAAAUACAAAAAAUUAGUCAGGUGUGGUGGUGCGUGCCUCUAAUCCCAGCUACUCAGCAGGAAAAGCACUUGAACCCAGGAGAUGGAGGCUGCAGUGAGCCAGGAUUGUGCCAUUGCACUCCAGCCUGGGCAACAGAGUGAGACUAUGUCUCAAAAAAAAAAAAAAAAAAAAAAAAAAAAAAAAAGAGUUAAUGUCCAUAAAUGACAGAUUUACAAGUGUAAGCUAUAUGAUUUCUUCAAAAAAGCAAAAGCAAUAUACUUAAUUCAUUUGGAUCAAACUUACAUAGGUUUCAGGUCCUGUAAGAAACUUGCCUGUUCUAACUGUUGCUUCCAGACUACAUCUGGUGGUAAUUGUUAAUGUUUCAGCAGGGCUGAUCUCAGUCCUUUAAAGUGGAAAGCUUUAUUGUGAGCCCAACCUUAUAAGAUGAAGAAAUCCCAUACAGUCUUAUUCACCAAUAUAUCCAAAACACCCACAGCAAUGGUACCUUUUUAAGAUCAGGAUUUUAUUAUGAAUUCCUGUCACUUUCUGUUUUCUAUUUAAAUUUCUAUUUUACAGAUUUUUCAGGGAAUCAUAUUCUUCACUGAGAAAAUGUGUUACUCUUUUGGACAAUUUAUCUUAUUUCUAACAUAUAAAAUGUAUUUUUUUAUUGUCCUUAAAAGAAGCUCUAGCAUGAAAUUAAAGGAGAGGGGAAAAAAUAGAUCUAGUGCACCCAAACAUUAGGAGAAAAUGAAAAAUAUACAGCCAACCGUUUGUGAGUCAUCAAAAAGUCAAAGUCAGCCUGGUCAACAUGGCAAAAAACCCAUCUCUACAAAAAAUACAAAAAUAAGCUCGGUGUGGUGGCAUGUGCCUGUAAUCCCAGCUACUCAAGAGGCUGAGACAUGAGAAUUGCUUGAACCCGGGAGGCGGAAGUUGCAAUGAGCCGAGAUCGUGCCACUGCACUCCAGCCUGGGCAAGAGAGAGAGACCUUGUCUCAAAAAACAAAACAAAAAAAGUCAAAGUCAUAAUAAGCAAAUUAUUGGCUUCUUUCUUGUAGACUAAAAGAAAUUAAAGAGAUGAAACAAUCAAUUGCAAGGGCUGAAACUAGAUUGGAUCUUGGUUUGAAUUUAAAAAAGCAUAAAAUAUUCUUGCAAUAGUUGUAAAAUUUGAAUGUGGACUAAGUCCUAGAUUAUAUUAAAAUAUUUAAAAUUUUUUCCUCUAGACUAAAAGAAAUUAAAGAAUUGAAACAAUCAAUUGCAAGGGCUGAAACUAGAUUGGAU